AAAUGGGAACAACGGCUUAAGCCAUUAGGUGUUCGCGCUUUCUGGAGGUGGAAGAUUUACGUUCUUCCUAUUAGACCCAAAACCGACCGAUCUAGCCAUGAGCAGGUUGAAGAGAUCUUUAAUAGGCCUUGGAGGACCGAACCCACGCAUGUGGCAAAAAAGGGGGUGACUUGUGGUAGGGGCGAAAGGCCAACCAAAGACAACAGG
rnacentral:ncRNA from 1 species